UUGGUGACCAGCGGAGGGAUCAUUACCGAGUUUACAACUCCCAAACCCAAUGUGAACGUUACCAAACUGUUGCCUCGGCGGGGUCACGCCCCGGGUGCGUCGCAGCCCCGGAACCAGGCGCCCGCCGGAGGAACCAACCAAACUCUUUCUGUAGUCCCCUCGCGGACGUAUUUCUUACAGCUCUGAGCAAAAAUUCAAAAUGAAUCAAAACUUUCAACAACGGAUCUCUUGGUUCUGGCAUCGAUGAAGAACGCAGCGAAAUGCGAUAAGUAAUGUGAAUUGCAGAAUUCAGUGAAUCAUCGAAUCUUUGAACGCACAUUGCGCCCGCCAGUAUUCUGGCGGGCAUGCCUGUCCGAGCGUCAUUUCAACCCUCGAACCCCUCCGGGGGAUCGGCGUUGGGGAUCGGGACCCCUCACACGGGUGCCGGCCCCUAAAUACAGUGGCGGUCUCGCCGCAGCCUCUCCUGCGCAGUAGUUUGCACAACUCGCACCGGGAGCGCGGCGCGUCCACGUCCGUAAAACACCCAACUUUCUGAAAUGUUGACCUCGGAUCAGGUAGGAAUACCCGCUGAACUUAAGCAUAUCAAUAAGCGGAGGA
rnacentral:rRNA from 1 species